rnacentral:tRNA from 1 species
CCAUCGGUGGUUCAGUGGUAGAAUGCUCGCCUGCCACGCGGGCGGCACAGGUUCGAUUCCCGGCCAAUGCU